GACGUAGGAGGCGAGCGUUGUCCGGAUUCAUUGGGCGUAAAGAGCGCGCAGGCGGCUUGGUAAGUCGGAUGUGAAAUCCCGAGGCUCAACCUCGGGUCUGCAUCCGAUACUGCCCGGCUAGAGGUAGGUAGGGGAGAUCGGAAUUCCUGGUGUAGCGGUGAAAUGCGCAGAUAUCAUGAGGAACACCGGUGGCGAAGGCGGAUCUCUGGGCCUUACCUGACGCUCAGGCGCGAAAGCUAGGGGAGCGAACUGG
rnacentral:rRNA from 1 species